rnacentral:SRP_RNA from 1 species
UUUCGGAACCUGUGCGGCAGGAGAGUUGUGAACCGGGUCAGAUGGGGAACCAAGCAGCCCUAAGCAGCCGACCUGGGUGCCAGUUUUUCCGUUGCUG